UUAUUUACCUGGCAGGGGAGAUACCAUCAUCACGAAGGUGGUUUUUCCAGGGCGAGGCUUAUGUUUUGCACUCCACAUGUGCUGACCUCUGCGAUUUCCCCAAAGUAGGAAACUCAACUGCAUAAUUUAUGGUAGUGGAGGACUGCAUUCAUGCUCUUCCCUU
rnacentral:snRNA from 1 species